UACGGAGGGUGCAAGCGUUAUCCGGAAUUAUUGGGCGUAAAGCGUCCGCAGGCGGUUUUUCAAGUGUGAUAUUAAAGCCGGCAGCUCAACUGUCGUUUGGUAUCGCAAACUGUUAAACUAGAGGCUUAGAGAGGUACGUGGAAUUCUGCAUGUAGGGGUAAAAUCCGUAGAUAUGCAGAGGAACACCAAAAGCGAAAGCAGCGUACUGGAUAAGUUCUGACGCUCAUGGACGAAAGCGUGGGGAGCAAACAGG
rnacentral:rRNA from 1 species